GGGACGUCGCACGGACUGGGACGUGAUGUGUACCUGCACCCCGCUAAGGGGCCUGAGUGGAGUGCACGAUGUGCAGAGAGGGCCGAGCUGCUGGGGGGAUGGCGUUACUGCGAAUUCCUGCCUCCCCCACCAGGCUGGGGGCUGCUGGGCUGCGUCAUCCUGUUCCCAAUGCCCAGCCCAGGGCCUGGCACAGAGCAGCAUGAAGCUGCUACGUGGGAGACACCCCCAUGGCAAGGCACUGAAGGCCACCUCCAGCCAACAGCCACCAGGCAGGCCGGACCUGAGGCCCCUGGUCCAUCAGCCCUCGAGGAAGAGUCGUGUCCACCCCUGCAGGAGCUCGGGAGCAGACCCUUCCCCAGUCGAGCCUUCAGACCACGUCCCCGCCUCGGCCACAACUUGAUCGCGGCCUCGUGUGAGCCGCUGAAGCAGAGGAUCCAACCAAGAUGUAAAUUUCACCCCCAAACCCCACAAGGAACAGGGGAGUCUGAGACUUGGAAGAAUCGCUGGGAUGUGCAGCACACCUUCCCCUCUGAUCCGCUGGCUCUGUGGGCCCACCAGGGGGAGGAGACCCGCCAGUAACCUAAAUGCAAAUCGCCCUUGGCAGCAGC
rnacentral:lncRNA from 1 species